rnacentral:rRNA from 1 species
AUUGAACGCUGGCGGUAUGCUUAACACAUGCAAGUCGAACGGUAGCAGGCCUUCGGGCGCUGACGAGUGGCGGACGGGUGAGUAACGCGUAGGAAUCUGCCUCAUAGUGGGGGACAACGUGGGGAAACUCACGCUAAUACCGCAUACGCCCUACGGGGGAAAGCGGGGGGAUCUUCGGACCUCGCGCUAUGAGAUGAGCCUGCGUUAGAUUAGCUAGUUGGUAGGGUAAAGGCCUACCAAGGCGACGAUCCAUAGCUGGUCUGAGAGGACGAUCAGCCACACUGGGACUGAGACACGGCCCAGACUCCUACGGGAGGCAGCAGUGGGGAAUAUUGGACAAUGGGCGCAAGCCUGAUCCAGCAAUACCGCGUGUGUGAAGAAGGCCUUAGGGUGUAAAGCACUUUCAAUUGGGAGGAAAACCUGCCGGUCAAUACCCGGCAGCUUGACAUUACCUUUAGAAGAAGACACCGGCUAACUCCGUGCCAGCAGCCGCGGUAAU